GAGUCCAACAUGUGCGCGAGUCUAAGGGUGAACUAAACCCGGAGGCGAAAUGAAAGUGAGCAUACCAAGCAGGCCGAUCCCCGGUCGGCUGUCUGCUGCCCGUAGGCGCGCUGGCAUCUCUGCCUGGCGUGGCCGCUGGUGGCGGGCACCGACUGAGAAGCAAUAGUGCCGGGGCGCAGGCCGAGGACUUGUCGCUCAGCGGCCCCGGGGACGGGGCGCUUCCUCACGGAGGCGCUCUCACUCGGGUGCCCGCUGGCAAGUACCUAAGAGCGCACACGUUGGGACCCGAAAGAUGGUGAACUAUGCCCGGCGAGGACGAAGCCAGAGGAAACUCUGGUGGAGGUCCGAAGCAGUUCUGACGUGCAAAUCGAUUGUCAGAGCUGGGUAUAGGGGCGAAAGACUAAUCGAACCAUCUAGUAGCUGGUUCCCUCCGAAGUUUCCCUCAGGAUAGCUGGCAUUCAGGAGGAUGAGUUUCAUCCGGUAAAGCGAAUGAUUAGAGGCCUUGGGGGUGCAAUGCCCUCAACCUAUUCUCAAACUUUAAAUGGGUGAGAUGUGGAGCUUGCUUGAUCACAUGAAGCUCUAUGAGACAGAAUCAGAGUGCCUAGUGGGCCACUUUUGGUAAGCAGAACUG
rnacentral:rRNA from 1 species